GGAAGGAAGGAGAGGGAGGAAGGAAGGAGAGGGAGGAAGGAAGGAGAGGGAGGGACGGAAGGAAGGAAGGAGGGAAGGGAGGAAGGAAGGAAGAAAGGGAGGAAGGAAAGAAAGAAGGAAGGAAGAUUCUAAUUCAAAUCAGUUGCUUAAGAGGGAGAGAUCAGGAAAUUCCCAACUAAAGUGCUGGGGUGACAGGUGUGAGCCACCAUGCCCGGCCAGGUUCCCCAGCUGUUUGGACAAGUAGUAACAAGUAGCUAACUGCAAAUGCAAAAAGAAAGAAGAAGGAAAGAAAGAAAGAGAGAGAGAGAGAGAGAAGGAAGAAAGGAAAGAAAGAAAGAAGAAAAGAAAAAACCAAUUCUAAUUCAAAUCAGUUGCUUAAGAGGAGAGAUCAGGAAGAAAGAAGAACAGAAGGAAAGAGAAAGAAAAAGAAAAGAGAGAAGAAAGAAAGACACAGAAGAAAGAGAGAGAAGGAAGGAAGGGAAAGAAGGAAAGAAGGAAAGAAAAAGGGAAAAAGAAAGAAAGAAAAGAAAAAAAAUCCUAAUUCAAAUCAGUUGCUUAAGAGGGAGAAAUAAGGCAAUUUCCCACCAGGAGGACGCCAUCUAGAUCGGACGGCGUUGUUGGUACAUCCCUGACUCUGAAGUCACUAACAAAACUCCCAGGCUUUGUGCAAAGGAGAACCUCUAAGCCCCCGGGAAUGGCGUUUUCUCGCUCUCCACCAUGAGUCUGGCUGGCUCGCCUCCUUGUAGAAUGAGGUGGCCGCAAGUUUGGCGGCCUCUGGAGAAACGGCGGUGCAUUUCUUGACGUAAGAAGUAAUGUAGAGGGUGGGGGAGUGUCUGUUCCAUGAUAAUUUCUGAAUAGUGCUUUUCUCCGGAGCCAUACGUCAUUGUCAAGUCAGAAGAUUACACGUACCGUUUCCUUUGUGAACCAGGGACUCGGGGUGGGUGCAAAUGUCCCCAAAUGCAAAUCCGCCUGGUAGAUAGAGUGAGAUAGAUAUGAAUGUAGACACCACGGGUCUCCUUCCCCGACAACCCACCUUUUUUGUUUGUUUGUUUUAGGUGAUUCAGGGACAAAACUUUCCUGAAACAACAAGGCUCAAAUUAUAUCAUAAUUACAGACAUCCCUCGGCAAGCCCACGUUUUAUUUCAAGGCCGGGAGCUGAAAUGAUCGUGUUCAGUCACGCACACCAUCCAUGAUAAGACGGAGUCUCGCUCUGUCACCCAGGCCGGAGUGCAAUGGCGCGAUCUCGGCUCACUGCAACCUCCACCUCCCGGGUUCAAGCGAUUCUCCUGCCUCAGCCUCCCGAGCAGCUGGGACUACAGGUUCCCCCCACCACGCCUGGCUAAUGUUUGUAUUUUUAGUAGAGACGGGGUUUCACCCCGUUGGCCAGGAUGGUCUCGAACUCCUGACCUCGUGAUCCACCCACUUCGGCCUCCCAAAGUGCUGGGAUGACAGGCGUGAGCCACCGCGCCCGGCCCUAUUUUUUUCUUUUUUGAGACAGUCUCGCUUUGUCGUACAGGCUGGAGUGCAGGGGUGCAAUCAGGGUUCACUGAAGCCUCGAACUCCCAGGCUCAAGCGAUCCUCCUGCCUCAGCCUCCCAAGUAGCUGGAACCACAGGUCCGCACCACCACGCCCCGCUAUUUUUUGUGUUUUUUGUAGGGACAGGGUUGCACCAUGUUGCUCAGGCUGGUCUCCAACUCCCGUGCUCAAGCGAUCCACCAUCCUGGGCCUCCCAAAGUGCUGGGGUUACAGGCAUGCGGCCCCGCGCCGGCCCAGUCUUUCCCUCUCCCACUGCUUCCCAGGGCUUCGCCUGUCUAACCGGGCGCGGGCAGUUGUCCUGUGUCCUGGCUCAGCGCGGACCUACGCGGGGUGAUCACACAGAUGCCCCCAGCUCUCUCUACCUCCCGCGAAGGCGCUGAGCCCCCUGAUCCCUGCCGGGCACUGGCGCAAGGUCGCCUGCGAGCGCCAGGCCUUCCUGCCCGGUGGGAGACGGGAGGGCCCUCUCUCCGGCUCGGUCUGGUUCCCGGGUCAGCCAGCAGCCGCGCCUUUUCCUCCCGGACCCGGGACCCGCCCCUUGGCCGGGGCCGCGGCCGCAGCGCCCGGAGGGGCCGCCCUGCGCAUGCCCGCGGGAGGUGGGUGACCCGGGCGCGCGCUGCCCGAGGCCGGGGGGCGGUGGGGACAGCACAGGCGGGGCGGCCGAGCCGAGACCUUCCCACCCCGCCCCACGCCUGGUUGGGGACCUGACGCGCCGUCGUGAGUGGGGCGGGUGCAGGUGUCCCUGGGGGCCGGGGGCAGACACUGGUGCGGGACGACCUGCUCCCGAGGGGGUCCGCAGGCCACACCCAGAGAAACUGGGGCGCCUCCAGUCACCGCCGCGGUCCGCCCCGCCCGAGGCUUUGACCCCCUGAAUCAGCGUCGGGGCAGGGAUCCGCGUGGGGUGGAAGAGGCUGGGAAACUGGGGAGUCCCGGGCCUCCUCUGGAGCCGCCCGCCCUUGGCUGGCUGGUCCUUCUCUUCCGCGGCUCCCGCCGGGCUGGGCCCUGGGCCGCCCUCACUCCCUCCCCUCUGCAGCCUCCCUUGCGUUUGUCAUUCACUCUGCCAGGCUCUCCUUCUGCCUCCGCAUGCCCAACGAUCCGGAGAAAAACACGGACCAUGACAUCAAAAGGGCUUGGCAAAGGAAUCGUGAUUAUUGUGAUACAAGAUUCUGCACCUCAAAGGGGAUCCCUGUAGUGAGUUUUGGAAAACGUACAAAGCCUGACUUACAAUAUGCCUGUUAUCUGUGGCGUUUCAUCUGGGGAACUUUCUUUUCCUUGAUAGGGUAAACUAUUCUCAUCCAGAGUAUGUCCCUCAGUCUGUAAAAGUCCAUGGUGCCCUACAUCUAUUAGGGGAGUGAGGAAGGGCAGUGGGCAUUGGAUCUGCUUCUUUGAAAGCCCCCACCUGUGUUUAGCUUCUGUUAGAGGCCUUUGAACCAGAGCAACUCCAUCUUGAGUAGGCGCUGGGUAAAAUGAGGCUGAGACCUACUGGGCUGUGUUCCCAGGCGGUUGAGGCAUUCUAAGUCACAGGAUGAGAUGAGAGGUCGGCACAAGCAGUAAAGAAGCCGCGGCCAAAACCCACCAAAACCAAGAUGGUGAUGCGAAUGACCUCUGGUCGUCCUCACUGCUACACUCCCACCAGCGCCAAGACAGCUUACAAAUGCCAUGGCAACGCCAGAAUGUUACCCUAUAUGGUCUAAAAAGGGGAGGCAUGAAUAAUCCACCCCUUCUUUAGCAUAUAAUCAAUAAAUAACCAUAAAAAUGAGCAACCAGCAGCCCUUGGGGCUGCUCUAUGGAGUAGCCGUUGUUUUAUUUCUUUACUUUUUUUUUUUUUCAGAGGGAGUCUUGCUCUUGCUCUUGCUCAGGCUGGAGUGCAGUGGCGUGAUCUCGGCUCACUGCAAUCUCCUUCUCCUGGGUUCAAGCGAUUCUCCUGCCUCAGCUUUCGAGUGGCUGGGACUACAGGUGCCCACCACCAUGCCGGCUUUUUUUUUUUUUUUGUACUUUUAAUAGAGACAGGGUUUCACCAAGAUGGCCAGGGUGGUCUCGAACUCCUGUCCUCAGAUGAUCUGCCAGCCUUGGCCUCCCAAAGUGCUGGGAUUAUAGGCGUGAGCCACCGCGCCCAGCCCUAUUCCUUUACUUUUUUUUUUGAGGUGGAGUCUCACACCUGGCCUCCAAUAUGUUUAUUCAUAUUGCUGAGGCAGGGGAUUGCUUGAGUCCAAGAGUUUGAGGUUGCAGUGAACCAUGAUCAUAAGCUGUAUUUCAGCGUGAGUGAGAGAUUGAGACCUUGUCUCACAAAAUAAAAGUUAAAAAGCCCUUAUCUGGAGGUGACAAAGCCAAAUACAAAGGUCUUCUCAGUUGGUUCCCAGUCUUCCCAGUCCAGCAGCCUCAGCAUCACCAGGAAGCUGGUUAGGCAAAUUCUCAGCGGCCCCAACCUACUGAAUUGGAGACCCUGAAGAUGGGGCUAUCUGAAUUUUAACAAGGCCUCCAGGUUUGCAUGCUCAAGAUUGAGAACCACUGGCAAAAGCAAACAAUUUGAAUCUGAAGUCAGCCCACCUGCAUUUGAAUACAGGCCCUGCCGCUUAAUAACUGUGAUUUAGAGCAAGUUAGUUACUUAACAGCUAGGUUGACCAAUUGUCCGAGUUUGCCUGGCACUGUCCUGAUUUCAGCAUCGAAAGUGCUACAUUAUCGCUGUGGCUCACGCCUGUAAUCCCAGCUUCUCAAGCUGUCCCUGUGGAAUCCUCAAUAUCGGUACAUUCAUCCCUAUCUAGCAUCCCCUUCCUCCCUCGCCCGUCCUGCACCCUCAGAAUUCAUUCUCAGAUCAGCUUCCCAGAUUUUUGCCAAUAUCAAUUAAAAAAUUUUUUUAGCCAACCAUGUACUGUGAGUAAGCCAAUAUCAAUUAGCAAAAUCUUUAGUUUCUUUUGGUGAUUCAGUAUCUUCCCCCUGGAGUUUUUUGAUGAUUCAUUACCCUCCUAGAUUUGGCCCCUGGGGCCUGCGGGGAUGUGACUUGUCAUUUAAUUCUGGAGAAAAUGAGGGGUAGGGCUUAUAAGGAGACUCCUUCGGGGCAGGGUCAUUACAGGGUGUGUUACAUAGGGAAAUGCUAGCUGCUGGCUAGCUCUCGCUCUUGAAAGGCUCUUCCUCCCUCAACUGAAAUGGGGAAGGGGGAACCCCGGCCGACUGAGGUCCUGACAUCUUUAGCACAUGGCUUCUUAGGUCACCCAGGGCAUCCAGGUUACCAGCUUGGGAAACAGGAGAUGUAGGGUGGAGGAAGAGGCUACAGCCCACCCUGGAAAUAACUGCCAUCCGUCCCACCCACAUGGUUAGGCUUUGUGUCCCCACCCAGAUCUCAUCUCGAAUUACAAUCCCCACGGGUUGAGGGAUGGACCAGGUGGAGGUAUUUGCAUCAUGGGGGCAGUUUCCCCCAUGCUGUGCUCGUGACAGUGAGUGAGUUCUCACGAGAUCUGAUGGUUUUAAAGCGUGGCAGUUCCUCUUUCUCGUGCUUACAUCCUCGUAACCGUCCUGUGGAGAAGGUGUCUGCUUUCCCCUACCUCCAUGGUUGUAAGUUUCCUGAAGCCUCCCCAGCCGUGUGGAACUAGUCUUGCUCUGUUGCUCAGGCUGGACUGCAAUGGCGUGAUCUUGGCUCACCGCAACCUCCACCUCCUGGGUUCAAGCGAUUCUCCUGCCUCAGCCUCCCGAGUAGCUGGGAUUACAGGUGAGUGCCAGCAUGCCUGGCUAAUUUUCUAUUUUUAGUAGAGAAAGGGUUUCGCCAUGUUGGUCGGGCUGCUCUCGAACUCCUGACCUCGUGAUCCACCUGCCUCGGCCUCUCAAAGUGUUGGGAUUAC